rnacentral:rRNA from 1 species
GCAUCUAGAUUUCCGUAGGUGAACCUGCGGAAGGAUCAUUAACGUUGUAAACCAACGACGACGGGUGAAGAAAAGAAAGUUUUCACCUGCAUUGUGUUCCUCACACAUGUGUGUUGUGGUGUUUGAGCCAAACGCACGCGCGCAAGCGUGUGUGUUUGACAGCCGCCGGCGUGUGUGUGGAACACGGGGUCAAAUGCGUCCCGGGGACACAUCCCCCCUGUUUUAUAAAAACAUCGCCUCCUGCAAUACAAAUAAGUAUAGGAGGUCCAGCCUGCCCAGUGACCACAAGUUUAACGGCCGCGGUAUUUUGACCGUGCAAAGGUAGCGCAAUCACUUGUCUUUUAAAUAAAGACCCGUAUGAAUGGUUAAACGAGGGCUUAACUGUCUCCCAUUUCCAGUCAGUGAAAUUGAUCUACCCGUGCAGAAGCGGGCAUAAAUAUACAAGACGAGAAGACCCUUUGGAGCUUAAGGUACAAAACUCAACCACAUCAAUCAACUCAAUAAAAAGCAACUUUUUACUUAAACCUUAUGACAAAUGAGACCAUACCUUAGGUUGGGGCGACCAAGGAGGAAAAGAAAGCCUCCAAGUGGACUGGGUAAACACCCUAAAACUAAGAGAGACAUCUCUAAGCCACAGAACAUCUGACCAUAAAUGAUCCGGUCAACUAAGACCGAUCAACGAACCAAGUUACCCUAGGGAUAACAGCGCAAUCCCCUCCCAGAGUCCAUAUCGACGAGGGGGUUUACGACCUCGAUGUUGGAUCAGGACAUCCUAAUGGUGCAGCCGCUAUUAAGGGUUCGUUCGUUCAACGAUUAAAGUCCUACGUGAUCUG